rnacentral:rRNA from 1 species
GCCGAAGCAAAUAGCUAGACAAAACUACAAAAUACCCUUACUUAUUAAACCAAAUCAUUUAACUUAGGCCAGUAAAUGAGAUUAAACCCCACCCUUUAGCCUAAUAAGUACCGCAAGGGAAAUAUGAAAGAACAAUGAAAUACUUAAAGUACAACACAGCAAAGAUAAAUCCUUGUACCUCUUGCAUCAUGGUUUAGCAAACACCCUCAGACAAAGAGAACUUAAGCCUGACCCCCCGAAACCAAACGAGCUAUUUCUAAGCAGCCUUACAUCAGAGCACAACCAUCCCUGUGGCAAAAGGGUGGAAAGACUUGGAAAUAGAGGUGAUAAACCAACCGAGCUUGGUGAUAGCUGGUUACUCAACAAAAGAAUUUUAGUUCAACCCAGAUAUUCAACUAAGCCUAAAUAUCCCAACUUUUACUUACCAUCUGAGGAAAAUCAACGGAGGUACAGCUCCAUUGAUCCGGAAUACAGCCCGAACUGAGAGAAACACCAACUUUUUUUCCCAAGUAGGCCUCAAAGCAGCCACCACUAUAACUGCGUUACAGCUUUAACCUAACUAAAUUUAAACAGCUUAAUAAACCUCCAGACCAAACUAUGAGUUAUUUUAUAAAACUAUAAAAACACUAAUGCUAAAACUAGUAAUAAGAAUAUUUCUCUCCGCACACCCUUAAAUCAGUAAUAGAAAGCCUACUGACAAUUAACAUAUUACAAAUAUAACAUAAACACACAAGCAUUUAUGUUUAUUCAUACUGUUACCCCAACACAGGAGUGCAAAAAAGAAAGGUUAAAAAAUGUAAAAGGAACUCGGCAAUCUUAAGUCCCAACUGUUUACCAAAAACAUAGCCUUUAGCUUAACAAGUAUUAAAGGUCUCACCUGCCCAGUGACUUUUUAAACGGCCGCGGUACCCUAACCGUGCAAAGGUAGCAUAAUCACUUGUCCCCUAAAUAGGGACUAGAAUGAACGGUCAAAUGAGGACUAAACUGUCUCUUAUAUUCAACCAAUAAAACUGAUCUCUUAGUCCAAAAGCUGAGAUAUAACCAUAAGACGAGAAGACCCUGUGGAGCUUCUAAACCAGACUCAUUAACCAUGCCCAUCUGGUUUUUAGUUGGGGCGACUUCGGAGUACAAAAAAACCUCCGACACAGAGUAAUCCUCUACACCUAGAUUAACACACCAAAAUAAUAAUACCUGAUCCAGUAGUUAUUCAACUAUCUGAUUAAUGAACCAAGUUACCCCAGGGAUAACAGCGCCAUCCUCUUCUAGAGUCCAUAUCGACAAGAGGGUUUACGACCUCGAUGUUGGAUCAGGACACCCAAAUAGUGCAGCCGCUAUUAAUGGUUCGUUUGUUCAACGAUAAAAGUCCUACGUGAUCUGAGUUCAGACCGGAGAAAUCCAGGUCGGUUUCUAUCUAUGUAGUGACACUCCCAGUACGAAAGGACCGAAGUGACAGGACCUAUACUACAAAAGCACGUCCUACUAAACAUUACUGACAUUACUAAAGUAACACAUGCCUUCACCCACACCCCAAAAAUAGGGAUU